UACGUAGGGGGCAAGCGUUGUCCGGAAUCAUUGGGCGUAAAGCGCGUGUAGGCGGUCCGGUAAGUCCGCUGUGAAAGUCGGGGGCUUAACCCUCGGAUGCCGGUGGAUACUGUCGGGCUUGAGUACGGAAGAGGCGAGUGGAAUUCCUGGUGUAGCGGUGAAAUGCGCAGAUAUCAGGAGGAACACCAAUUGCGAAGGCAGCUCGCUGGGACGGUACUGACGCUGAGGCGCGAAAGCGUGGGGAGCAAACAGG
rnacentral:rRNA from 1 species